CUCGCUACCUCCAGCCGCCUGCGCCGCCCGCCGGCCACCGCCGCCUCGUCGUCGCAGAAUUUCUCCUCGCUUAUCUUUUCUCCAUCUCUUUCGGAUUUUGAAUCUGGGAGGAAAUUCGCGGUCCGGUGGAAAAUCUGUUGGAUUUGUUCGUUUGAAAUUUCCAUCUGUGUUUUUCUUUUCGGUAUGAAGUAGUUGCAAAGAUGUAUGCUUUCUGAAUUUUUUCGUCUGAAUCAAACCCGGCUCUAUAUUAUGAGUCAACAGCAGGCGCCGUUCGAUGGCGUCCUGACUGCCGCGUGGAGCCCAGAGUGACGCCCAAGCCAGGAGAAGAUUGUUUGGAGAUCCAUCUUCCUUUUAGUUCCAAGCCACAAUACCUGGCCACACCUCGGCGCAAGCUCGCCUCGCCCAAGUAGCUUCGUCUCUUUUGCGUUCGGAAUCCGAGUUUGUUUUGGUUUUUUGUUUUGUUUUUUUGUUUUGGUUUCUUGGAUCUGGUUCUUGGGACGGCAUCAUUAGACGAACGGGUGCCCUCCGGCGAUCCAUGGAGGUUUUUGCCCUUUGCAAGGUGCCCAGAUAGACGCCUACACACGAUUGGACGAGGGGCAUCAAGCGUCAUGUACGUUUCUGCCUCGUCCAAAUUUCAUAUGGCUAUAUCAUCUGUCGAUCCGGUUUCCUUUUUCUAUUUCUUGUUCGGCGGUUCGGUUCCUCUGUGUCGCAUCAGUUUUUUCUUUUGUUUUUGCAACUGAAACAGUUAAUGAAAUGUAACGGAUCUGAGAAACGUGAUUCACAUCUGUUAAUCUGGAACGUUGCGUCAGCGAUUGGUUAAGGCAUUCUGCAAAAACUAAAAUUUGCAAUGUGAUACAUAUGAUUUCGAAUUAAUUACUUAUGGAAUCUACGAAAUGGAUUACGUAAAACAUUUAACCUAGAACUACAGCUAAUGGAGGGGAUUUGUGAAUAAUGCGUUCUCAACUGAAACAGUAGAGAUGACGAAAUGAUUACACCUUAUAUAGCAGAUAGAAAGACUGCUAAGCUGGAAAAUUUUAGAAAUCGUCCAUUUGAGCUUGUAUACAACAGUGACCUCAUAGAGAGGUGUUUUGAAUGGACUAAAGUCAAUAGUUACUUACUAAUAUUAGUUAUGUGUAUCCAAACGUCGUUGCAACUUAUAAUUAGUUAUAUCUCAAAUAUUCAUUAGUUUCUAGCUACCUCACACCGGCUAAAACCAGCUAACACUUUAUUCAAUUAUUCUUAUCAAUUAUAAAAGAGAAAUCCACCUAAUUCCACUAAAUCCAUAUGGAUUGAGAGACAAACGCUCUAAUUAGUAUUGACAAUUUCUCCCCAUCGACCUGCGACCGCCGCGAGAUGCCUCGCCCCGGUAGGGCACGCCGAUGUCUCGCCGGCAUCCUGUCUCCGCUGGUCCUCCACCGCUGCAGCCCGACGCCACCGCCAUCCCCAUACGCCGCUGCCGUCGACCCCAGUGAGAGAUAUCGUCGUACCAUCCGCCCUACAACUUACCAUGGUUUAGAUAGUAGCUUCAGAUAGUCCAAAUGGUAAUUUGUAAAAUACGUGCGUAACAUUCUGUAUAAUACUAGUAGAGAAGGCAUCGCAGAGGCUCGGGCUCAACAGCUGGAUCAAAUUUUCAGCUCUAAUCAAGCUAAACUGUGAGCAAAGUUUGCCCUCCAACAACAACAACAGUUUCUUGUAAAGUAACGAGAUUAUUAGACGGGGAUAUAAACCAAACAGGUUCUAUAAUGCUGAGGAGGCUUACCUGAAUGGCUCUUUAGCUGUUGUGUGCGGGUAUGGCCUAGUCCCUACUAUGGACAUGGAUUUUGACGGACACUACCAAUGGUGACUGGAUCAAGCCGUAUAGCAUAACAUUUGAUCAACCUAUCCUGCUCCUGCGCAUCCCGUGUUGGUCCUAGAUGACUAGAGGCUAGUCAUAUGUAUGGAAGAGAAGGGAUUACUACAGAUUUAUAACCCAAGAAGGAACACUUUUACAGAUGUUUUGAAGCUGGAGCACUGCUCUUCAAUAAGUUUGUAUACUGUGAAACAAAUAUCUCAUGUAACCAAACCAAUUUUGCUGGGAGUGGAUUUGUGGGUGCUUUUUAGCUGUAUGACAAGUACCUUGUUAUCUUAGCUAUGGCUACCUUUUUGUAAUGUUGGACUCCUCUAUUUGAUGAGAUAUAUUCUGAGUAUUGAUUGUUUGUAUAUAUUCGUUCGUUACUGACUGCUUGGUCUCUCUAAUUGCAGCUAUGUUCUUCGAUUUCGAUGAGGCUAAGUACCACACAACCCCUAUCAGGUCUCCCUCAAAUCGUGUGAAUAAUACGUUGUACAGGGAAAACUAAAAUUUUCUAUGUUAUACAUAUGAUUUCGAAUUAGUUACUUAUGGAAAACUACGAGAUGAUGCAGUUAAUGGAGGGGAUUAGUGAAUAAUGCGUUCUCAACUGAAACAAGAGAGACGACGAACUGAUUACACUUUAGGCCUUGUUCGGUUAUUGAUAUUACAUGUGUAUUGGAGUGUAUUGGGUAAUGAUUGAGAUGAAUUUUGACUUGUUAUGGAUUUAAACCGGCUCAAUCCCACCCAAUACAUGUGGAUUAUCACCAAAACGAACAAGCCCUUAUAUGUAAAGUUAUUGUGUUACAUCUUUACUUCAACAAUCACUUAGCAUUAGCAGACAGAAACGCUGCUAAGCUGGAUAAUUUUAGAAAUCGGCCAUCUGAGCUUGUAUCCAUUAACAAGGGCAUCGGAGGUUAAAGUCCCUGACAAAAAAAACGACAGUAUUUCACAAGUACUAAUAUAUUGUUCACAGUUAGAACAACGAGAUCCUAGGGUUUGUU
rnacentral:lncRNA from 1 species